AAGGGGUGGGGGCGCGUGACUGGUCCGUUUGGAAGCCACGGGGAGUGGAGGCUCAUCUGCCCACGAUCACUGCAGGCCCAGGCCCCCGACGGUUGCGGAACCGAGGAGCCCAGCCUGUCUCCGUGGUAACCGGCUGGCCGCAGAGGACUGUGGGAAGUGUAACUGGGCAGGACCCGCCAGUACUCGAGAUCCGAGGGGUUGCCGUUAUACCGCCAGCCACCCGGGGCAGAACGAUUUUGCGGCGUCCGGGCGUCGUCGUCCUGCCGUCUAUUUGGCCUCUGAUCACCCAGGCAGAACAUUUCCGAAAUUAAAGAAGCUCAUGAAGAAUUUAUCUGAAACAUAACUCUCUCAGGGCACAAGUUAAGGCUCCCUGGGGACUUCUCCAGUCAAGAAUGACCCCAGCAAUGGUGGGGGCUGUGUCCUUGGCCCCCACCCAGAUCCAGUCCCAUAGACUGGCGUCCAGGGAACCUCCCAGAGGGGAAGUUGAGCAGCUGGCCUGCCCCAGAGAAGAGUUUCGAGCAGGAGAGAGAAGAGAGGAGCCAGGAAGGUGACCAGAGUGACCAGAACUGCCAGCCAGAUAUAAAACUCUUUGAGGAAGAACCACCCCAUGUCCCUUGGACUCACAGCACCUCUGAGCAUCGAGGGAUUCGGGAUGACGUGGGGAUCGGUGACUGUAUACAGCUGUGGAUGCAGACAGAUGGAUUUGUGACUCAGGGUCAUCACGCAUGGAGGCACGCUUACCCCUGCCUGAAGACAUGACCUGCCUUCUCGGGGAUGGUUGUCAGCCAUUCUCUUCCAGGUCACACAGGAGGAAGGUGAUCUCAUCUUUAUUGCCACCCCUUCCCCCACCCUGACCUGAAAGCUGAAUUAGCCCUGACGUUCAUAAGGUGGCAGAGGCCCUUGGCUCUGUCUGGGAGGCAUUGCUGGCUAUCAUGUGUUGUGCUAACCUUGGGAGUGACCUUGAUUGGGGAGGCAGGGAACAAGCAAGAAAUUAGUAUGUUGGAGAGCUGGCCAGUGUCCCGGUUACGGAUGGCUGGCUCAGGUUCCACCCCCAAGAUGAACUUGGAGCUCUUUGAGAGCAAGACCUAUGUCUGAAGCAUCUCUGUAUUCAUAGUGCCUCGAUUAACACCUGGCAUGUAGCAGGUGUUCGUCCGACACUGGGCACUCCUGUAGUUGCCAGCAACCAAAGUUACCAGCAAGGAGGUAACAGGAAAACAGAUGUUAAUGGCUGUACUGGAAAGUCCCACCUGUGCUGGCCGCCACAAAUGCAUCAUCCUUUGCUAUACAGCAGAGUUCUGGGUCCCGAGCACAAAAUGCAGGAACAGCUCUUGUGUUUUGUUAACUGCAAAAUCUCUAUCUCCCCUACCAAAAAAAAAGGGGGGGGGGACAGACUCUAUGUAUAUAUCCAUGGAUUUAUAUAGCCAUGGCUUGCUCUUCUAAA